AUUGAACGCUGGCGGCAUGCUUUACACAUGCAAGUCGAGCGGCAGCGCGGGGGCAACCCUGGCGGCGAGCGGCGAACGGGUGAGUAAUACAUCGGAACGUGCCCCGUAGUGGGGGAUAACUCAGCGAAAGCUGGGCUAAUACCGCAUAUGCUCGACGGAGGAAAGUGGGGGACCGCAAGGCCUCACGCUAUGGGAGCGGCCGAUGUCCGAUUAGCUUGUUGGUGAGGUAAAGGCUCACCAAGGCGACGAUCGGUAGCUGGUCUGAGAGGAUGAUCAGCCACACUGGGACUGAGACACGGCCCAGACUCCUACGGGAGGCAGCAGUGGGGAAUUUUGGACAAUGGGGGCAACCCUGAUCCAGCCAUGCCGCGUGCGGGAAGAAGGCCUUCGGGUUGUAAACCGCUUUUGUCCGGGAAGAAAAGACUCCUCCUAAUACGAGGGGUUCUUGACGGUACCGGAAGAAUAAGCACCGGCUAACUACGUGCCAGCCGCCGCGGUAAGAC
rnacentral:rRNA from 1 species